rnacentral:lncRNA from 10 species
CCUCAAUUUGCCUUCUUCCUAGUUUCACUCCCAAAUAUAUUCUGUGCUGCAACCUCUUUCCCAGGCAUUUCAUAACUCCAUUUCGUGUGAAGAGGUCUCCACAACAAGAAGUGUCAUUCUUUUCUGUCAUUCAAAAUAGUUCUUCCUCUCAGAACUGAACAAGUGAAUGGGCUCAAAUGUUAUCUGAAAUCUGUCACAAUUCUCUCCUCUCUCCUCUUCAUCCCGACAAGCUUCCAUCCUAAGUGUUCCCACAUUUCAAUGAAGUGGGGAAACAUCAGACCUAGAGUGAAAACACACACUGCAGACUGACUUAUGCACUUUACUGGCCAUGAGGGAGCAGUAUGUGGCAUAUAGGAGGUACUUAAUAAAGCGAGUUGAAUAAACAAAUGUGCUUGGGCAGAUUCCUUAAUCUCAAGUACUGACUUUUUGCCCUGGACAUCAAAGAUGGUAACUCACAGGUUCACUGUGAGGCUUGCAGAGUUUUGGUUUAAACUAAGAAAAGCUAUGCAAAUGACAGCAACCAUUUGAAGACGGGUACACUUUGGAUACCGAAAAAUGCUCUAGUACACUAUACUCGUUUGAGCUUACAGCAAUCUUCUAAG